UACGUAGGUGGCAAGCGUUGUCCGGAUUUACUGGGCGUAAAGGGCGCGUAGGCGGCCGCCUAAGUCAGACGUGAAAUCCCUCGGCUCAACCGGGGAACUGCGUCGGAUACUAUUCGGCUCGAGGAAUGGAGGGGAGACUGGAAUUCUCGGUGUAGCGGUGAAAUGCGUAGAUAUCGAGAGGAACACCAGUGGCGAAGGCGAGUCUCUGGACAUUUCCUGACGCUGAGGCACGAAAGCCAGGGGAGCAAACGGG
rnacentral:rRNA from 1 species